rnacentral:rRNA from 1 species
AUACCCUAUUAUUUUUAUUGUAAAUUUGUUAAGCCAGAGUAAUAUUAGUUAAGGUCUUAAAACUUAAAGAAUUUGGCAGUAUUACAGUCUGUUUAGAGGAAUCUGUUAUGUAAUUGAUAAUCCACAUUGAACCUUACUUAUUUUUAUUUCUUGUAUACCGCUGUUUGGGAAUAUAUUUUAUAAUAAUAUUCGAGAUAAAUAAUUAAUUAAAAUUUCAAGUCAAGGUGCAGUAAUAUUUAAGUUGAAUAAUGGAUUACAAUAAAUUAAAUUUAUACGGAUAAUUUAUGUAAUAUUGAUAUGAAGGUGAAUUUAUUUGUAAUUUUGUAAAGAUUAUAAAAAUGAUUAAAGCUCUGUAAUAUGUACACAUCGCCC